rnacentral:rRNA from 1 species
CCUACGGGAGGCAGCAGUGGGGGAUAUUGCACAAUGGGGGGAACCCUGAUGCAGCGACGCCGCGUGGGUGAAGGAGUGCUUCGGCAUGUAAAGCCCUAUCGGCAGGGAAGAAGCAAGACGGUACCUGACUAAGAAGCCCCGGCUAACUACGCGCCAGCAGCCGCGGUAAUACGGAGGGGGCGAGCGUUAUCCGGAUUCACUGGGCGUAAAGGGAGCGUAGACGGCCAUGCAAGCCAGGGGUGAAAGCCCGGGGCCCAACCCCGGGACUGCCCUUGGAACUGUGCGGCUAGAGUGCGGGAGGGGCAGGCGGAAGUCCAGGUGUAGCGGUGAAAUGCGUAGAGAUCAGGAGGAACACCGGCGGCGAAGGCGGCCUGCUGGACUACGACUGACGUUGAGGCUCGAAAGCGUGGGGAGCGAACAGGAUUAGAUACCCGAGUAGUC